AUACGGAGGGUGCGAGCGUUAAUCGGAAUUACUGGGCGUAAAGGGCGCGUAGGUGGUUAGGUAAGUCGGAUGUGAAAGCCCCGGGCUUAACUUGGGAAUUGCAUUCGAUACUGCCUGGCUUGAGUAUGGUAGAGGGAAGCGGAAUUCCGGGUGUAGCGGUGAAAUGCGUAGAUAUCCGGAGGAACAUCAGUGGCGAAGGCGGCUUCCUGGAUCAAUACUGACACUGAGGCGCGAAGGCGUGGGGAGCAAACAGGAUUAGAUACCCCUGUAGUCC
rnacentral:rRNA from 1 species